AGGGGGCGGGGGCCGCACACACACUAGAACCAGAUAAAGGGGAAAAUAAUCGAUGAAGGAAAAAGCGAGUGAGGUUCACCUUCUCUCUCUGGCUGGGGAUGGAAUCGCCAUUCGCAAUUGAGGGUUAGGGAUCGAGGUGCACAAGAGGGAGAGGAGGGAUCAGAAAGGGUAUCAACAUCUCACCUGCGGAUCAUUUUAGGUGAGCCUGUGAGGAAGAAGCGAUUGAUGAUUUUGGGAAGAAAGAGACAGUUGUUGCAGCGUCGUUUUUGUCUUCCGCUCAGGUUCGAAUUGCGAGAGUGGACAAGAGGAUAACGAGAUUGUUAAAGACAAAGGGGGCAAGAAAUCCUGAAUUAUCUUAAGUUCUUUAUUUGGAUUUCCCCCUUCUAUUUGUUCUGAAUCCUUCAAGUUUCAACCUUUCAACAUAUUGGAUGCAGCUCUUCAUAAUUUAUGGGUACCCUGCACAAGAGCUAAGCAAAACACAUCUCUAAAAGUGAGAUCAAUUUCUUCCUGCUUUCAUUGGCAUUAUUGCAGCUUUGGUUGACAUUGCUUCUUGAAAAUGUUCACCGUGGCGCCUCAAUUUGAAGAGGCAACCCCUCAGCGUAUUUGCUUCGGCGCUCAUUUCGUCCAUUCAAAGGCGGUCAUUGUCACCUUCGUUGUUGGCCCACUUCAUUGGUUGUGUUUGGGAAUGAUGAUUAUAACCAUUCAAGAAUCUAUGAUCAUGCCAAAUAAAAAUGGACAUAAAUUUGUAUGUUAUGGCUGCACAUUACACGCCCUUAUCUUUUUCUUUGGCCACAAUCAAGUCUGAAUCAGUUGUUGGCUCCAUUCUUAGCAGUUGGGCCUUUCUUCACUUUUGUCGUAUUCUGUUCCGGUGGAGAUGUUUAUCACGAUCAUCAUCUUAGUCAUAAAUCUUCAUUGAAUGAGUGGGAAAGGCCUAAGUCAGGUGGUACAACUCCUAUUGAAGAGGACAAUGAGGGGGAAGAGAAGCAAGAGGAAGAAGGAUGAUUUUGAGAAGCAGGACAACGAUAGUGUCGUAAAUGAAUUUUCUUUGUUUCUUCAACUUUCUUGAUAAGUUGUUUCCAAGUGUUGCUUGCUAUACUUAAUUUAAGGGUAUGUUAUGAACAUCGUGUUAUUGCAUCAGAAAGUUUGAGCUUUCUUAAUUUGUAUAGCCACCAUUACAAUGUA